rnacentral:rRNA from 1 species
CAGUCGCCGCGGGAAUACGAAGGGUGCAAGCGUUAAUCGGAAUUACUGGGCGUAAAGGGAGCGUAGGCGGACAUUUAAGUCAGGGGUGAAAUCCCGGGGCUCAACCUCGGAAUUGCCUUUGAUACUGGGUGUCUUGAGUAUGAGAGAGGUAUGUGGAACUUCGAGUGUAGAGGUGAAAUUCGUAGAUAUUCGAAAGAACACCAGUGGCGAAGGCGACAUACUGGCUCAUUACUGACGCUGAGGCUCGAAAGCGUGGGGAGCAAACAGGAUUAGAUACCCCUGUAGUCCCUGUCUCUUAUAC